AUGGAAUUAAUCAAUAACAUUGCUAAAGCUCAUGGGGGCGUAUCCGUAUUCGGUGGAGUAGGGGAACGGACUCGUGAAGGAAAUGAUCUUUAUAUGGAAAUGAAGGAAUCCGGAGUAAUUAAUGAAAAAAAUAUUGAGGAAUCAAAGGUAGCUCUAGUCUAUGGCCAAAUGAAUGAACCACCGGGUGGAGGGUUCGCCUGA
rnacentral:rRNA from 1 species